AAGAGCUGAUGCCGACGAACGGUGUUGGAAGAUUCCUAGUAAUAGGAAAGUGUCCUGUUGGAGAACUUGUUAAAGACUCAUGGAGGCGAAAGAUGGAAAGAUAAAUGCGUCAGAAGGAGGAGAAGCGAAGAGUGGAACGAUAGACAAUCAACCUGUCGACGAUCAAAGUAAUUUGAGGACAAGUCAAAAUGGCUCAGACACGUUCUCAGAUGUAAACAAUGCUUCUACCAGUGAAAGAGGAAGGCCAGUCAGAGAGGACACAGGUCAUCACAGCGGACG